AAUGGGAAAAGAUCUGGGGGUACUGGGGAAGGAGCUGGGGUACCACGGGGAAGGUUCCCGGGACCCCAGGCAGCAGCUGAUUACUAACUGGGAUGAAGGUUCCCACUAUUUCACAACCUGCACAUCCGUCCGGCUCACCUGCUAGUCACCUCUGCACUUCCCAUGACCUGGGGUCACCACUCGGGGUGUGCCGUCACCAAGUGGCAUCACCUCCAGCGAGUGGGCCAGGGGAUGCAAAUAUGGAGAAGGGGCGGGGCGUGGAGGGGAGAGGGGCCUCAUCCAGGCUGUGACCUGGCCUGACCCCAUCUUCGUGUCCCCAGAUGUCGACGAGUGCAGCUCCAGGCAGCAUCCAUGUCACAACUCCACCGCCUGUAUCAACACCGUGGGCUCAUACAAGUGCCGCUGCCGCCGAGGGUGGACACCCCUGCCGGGGUUCCGGGACAACCAAAACACCACUGUGUGUGAAGAGAUGUCCUUCCCCACCUGGACUCCGCCCCCUGGAAUCCAGAGCCAGCGUCUCUCAGGCUUCUUUGAAAGAGUCCAGGAUCUGCGCAGACACUUCACACCAGCCUCGGCCCAGGACACCGUCCAGG